GUUAUAUUCGGUCGGCGUGUUUCCGGACAAAGAUUACACAGAAGGUAUGUGGUUAUGUUUAGUUUAACACUGCAUAUUUAUGUAGCAAUAGAAAGUAAUCUGUCGACUGUUGUAGGCAUAAAUUGUGGAAUUAUUUAUCAAAAUUGACAUUUGCAAAGCCUGGUCACUAUACAUCAUGUGACUGUAUAUAGUUUACAGCUGUGACAGAGGUUUUUUAUUUUAUUUUAUUUUUUUAACCUAUCUGGUUUCAUUGUUUAUAUAGUUUGAAGCCUGCAUAUGAAAUCCAGACCAAAUGCAUGCCUAUUACAAAAUUCAGACAUUGAACGGCCUCGUACACAGCUGCAUGUUUUUUCCCCACUUGGCACAGAGCCGUAUCUAACCGCCAUUUACAGCGAUAACCGAGAGCACUGUAUCUAACUGCUAUUUACAGCAAUGACAGAGAGCGCUAUAUCUAAUCGCCAUUUACAGCAAUGACAGAGAGCGCUGUAUCUAACCUCCAUUGACAGCAAUGACAGAGAGCGCUGUAUCUAUCCGCUAUUUACAGCAAUGACAGAGAGCGCUGUAUCUAACCGCCAUUUACAGCGAUAACCGAGAGCGCUGUAUCAAACCUCUAUUGACAGCAAUGACAGAGAGCGCUGUAUCUAACCGCCAUUUACAGCAAUGACAGAGAGCGCUGUAUCUAACCUCCAUUGACAGCAAUGACAGAGAGCGCUGUAUCUAUCCGCUAUUUACAGCAAUGACAGAGAGCGCUGUAUCUAACCGCCAUUUACAGCGAUAACCGAGAGCGCUGUAUCAAACCUCUAUUGACAGCAAUGACAGAGAGCGCUGUGAAGCCCAAUCGCUAUUUAAAGCAAAUGAUGAGAGCGCCAUCUAAAUCAGCCAUUGAUAAGAAUGACAGAGAGCUUGCAUCAACCGCCAUUUGCUGGAAAGUGAUAACUUAGAGCACUGUAUCUAACCUCAAUUGAUAGCAAUGACAGAGAGCGCCGUCUCUAACCUUACUGACAGCAAUGACAGAGAGCGCUGUCUCUAACCGCCUUUUACAGCAAUGACAGAGAGCGCUGUAUCUAACCGCCAUUUACAGCAAUGACAGAGAGAGCUGUAUCUAACCGCCAUUUACAGCAAUGACAGAGAGCCCUGUAUCUAACCACCUUUUACAGCAAUGACAGAGAGCGCUGUAUCUAACCGCUAUUUACAGCGAUAACCGAGAGCACUGUAUCUAACCUCCAUUAACAGCAAUGACAGAGAGCGCUGUCUCUAACCGCCUUUUACAGCAAUGACAGAGAGCGCUGUAUCUAACCGCCAUUUACAGCAAUGACAGAGAGCGCUGUAUCUAACCGCCAUUUACAGCAAUGACAGAGAGCGCUGUAUCUAUCCGCUAUUUAAAGCAAUGACAGAGAGCGCUGUAUCUAACCGCUAUUUACAGCAAUGACAGAGAGCGCUGUAUCUAACUGCCUUUUACAGCAAUGACAGAGAGUGCUGUAUCUAACCGCCAUUUACAGCAAUGACAGAGAGCGUUGUAUCUAACCGCCAUUUACAGCAAUGACAGAGAGCGUUGUAUCUAACCGCCAUUUACAGCAAUGACAGAGAGCGCUGUAUCUAACCGCCAUUUACAGCAAUGACAGAGAGCGCUGUAUCUAACCGCCAUUUACAGCAAUGAGAGAGAGCGCUGUAUUUAACCUCCAUUGACAGCAAUGACAGAGAGCGCUGUCUCUAACCUCCAUUGACAACAAUCACAGAGAGCGCUGUAUCUAACCGCUAUUUACAGCAAUGACAGAGAGUGCUGUAUCUAACCGCCAUUUAAAGCAAUGACAGAGAGCGCUGUAUCUAACCGCCUUUUACAGCAAUGACAGAGAGCACUGUAUCUAACCUCCAUUGACAGCAAUGACAUAGAGCGCUGUAUCUAACCGCCAUUUACAGCAAUGACAGAGAGCACUGUAUCUAACCUCCAUUGACAGCAAUGACAGAGAGCGCUGUAUCUAACCGCUAUUUACAGCAAUGACAGAGAGCACUGUAUCUAACCUCCAUUGACAGCAAUGACAGAGAGCGCUGUAUCUAACCGCUAUUUACAGCAAUGACAGAGAGCGCUGUAUCUAACCGCUAUUUACAGCAAUGACAGAGAGUGCUGUAUCUAACCGCCAUUUACAGCAAUGACAGAGAGCGCCAUCUAACCGCUAUUUACAGCAAUGACAGAGAGUGCUGUAUCUAACCGCCAUUUACAGCAAUGACAGAGAGCUUUAUCCAACCAAUACAGCAAUGACAGAGAGCCGUAUCUAUCCGCUAUUUACAGCAAUGACAGAGAGCGCUGUAUCUAACCGCCAUUUACAGCAAUGACAGAGAGCUGCAUCUAACCUCCAUUUACAGCAAUGACAGAGAGCUGUAUCUAACCUCCAUUUACAGCAAUGACAGAGAGCGACCGCUUUACAGCAAUGACAGAGAGCGCUGUAUCUAACCGCCAUUUACAGCGAUAACCGAGCUCUGUAUCUAACCACCGCAGCAAUGACAGAGAGCGCUGUAUCUAACCGCCAUUUACAGAUGACAGAGAGCGCUGUAUCUAACCGCCAUUUACAGCGAUAACCGAGAGCGCUGUAUCUAACCACCAUUGACAGCAAUGACAGAGAGCGCUGUAUCUAACCGCCAUUUACAGCAAUGACAGAGAGCGCUGUAUCUAACCGCCAUUGACAGCAAUGACAGAGAGCGCUGUAUCUAACCGCCAUUUACAGCAAUGACAGAGAGCGCUGUAUCUAACCGCCAUUUACAGCAAUGACAGAGAGCGCUGUAUCUAUCCGCUAUUUACAGCAAUGACAGAGAGCGCUGUAUCUAACCGCCAUUUACAGCAAUGACAGAGAGCGCUGUAUCUAACCUCCAUUUACAGCAAUGACAGAGAGCGCUGUAUCUAACCGCCAUUUACAGCAAUGACAGAGAGCGCUGUAUCUAACCGCCAUUUACAGCAAUGACAGAGAGCGCUGUAUCUAACCGCCAUUUACAGCAAUGACAGAGAGCGCUGUAUCUAACCGCCAUUUACAGCAAUGACAGAGAGCGCUGUAUCUAACCGCCAUUUACAGCAAUGACAGAGAGCGCUGUAUCUAACCGCCAUUUACAGCAAUGACAGAGAGCGCUGUAUCUAACCGCCAUUUACAGCAAUGACAGAGAGCGCUGUAUCUAACCGCCAUUUACAGCAAUGACAGAGAGCGCUGUAUCUAACCUCCAUUGACAGCAAUGACAGAGAGCGCUGUAUCUAACCGCCAUUUACAGCAAUGACAGAGAGCGCUGUAUCUAACCGCCAUUGACAGCAAUGACAGAGAGCGCUGUAUCUAACCUCCAUUUACAGCAAGGACAGAGAGCUGUAUCUAACCGCCAUUUACAGCAAUGACAGAGAGCGCUGUAUCUAACCGCCAUUUACAGCAAUGACAGAGAGCGCUGUAUCUAACCUCCAUUUACAGCAAUGACAGAGAGCGCUGUAUCUAACCGCUAUUUACAGCCAUGACAGAGAGCUCUGUAUCUAACCGCCAUUUACAGCAAUGACAGAAAAUCAUAAGCUAAUUCUCAUGUGGAAAAUGUAUGUGAAUUUACAAUUACUGCGUGCAAACAUGGCCUUUUAAUAUAGUCCAUAAUUUUAAGCAAUAUAAUCCUUGCUUUUAUCAUUCUUUACCAAUAAUUAUGAAAGGCACACUAUAGUCACCAAAACAACUUUAUCAUAACGAAGCAGUUUUGGUGUAUAGCGUUAAAUCACAUUGUUUAUAUAGCCCUAGUCACACCUCCACGCAUGUGACUUGCACAGCAUUUUUUUUAUUUUUUUAUUCUUUAUUUAACAUUGAAGAAUAAACACGUUAUACAGUCUGUAACAUGCAUUGACGUGGAAUUGUUAACUAUAUAGUUACAUUUUGAGUCUAGUUGCUCCAUAUUAGUUGUAUUCAACAUUGUGUAUUUUUUUAAAAAAAAACACCCAUACCUCUCUAUCAAAAUAUACCCUUCCCUAUGGUAUAUGCCAUCCAGGGUUCCCAGACCUUGCUAAAGAUAUGUUGAGAAUGUCUUAUUAUUACUAUUAUGUUAUUAUUUAUAUAGCGCCAUCAAAUUCCAGAGCGCAUUACAAUGGGUGGACGAACAGACAUGUAGUUGUAACCAGACAAGUUGGACACACAGGAACAGAGGGAUUGAGGGCUCUGCUUAAUGAGCUUACAUGUUAGAGGGAGUGGGGUAUAGUGACACAGUAACAGAGGGAUUGAGGGCCCUGCUCAGUGAGUUUACAUGUUAGAGGGAGUGGGGUAUAGUGACACAGUAACAGAGGGAUUGAGGGCCUGCAGAGGGAGUGGGGUAUAGUGACACAGUAACAGAGGGAUUGAGGGCCCUGCUCAGUGAGUUUACAUGUUAGAGGGAGUGGGGUAUACACAGUAACAGAGGGAUUGAGAGCCCUGCUCAGUGAGUUUACAUGCUAGAGGGAGUGGGGUAUAGUGACUGUGGCAAACCUAGCCACUUGGACAAUAACUAGAGACUGUGCCUUUAAGGGUUGCCUAUCGGUCUAGAGAGAUAUGCGUGUUAUUCUUAUGUAUGGGCUUGAUGUAUUUCUGUGGAGACUGUAAUUACCUGUUUCGCCGAAUGCCAAUGGCGGUUUGUAUGUGUAGCGUUACUUACCUUAACCGGGGGCCGGUCGCGGUCCUCUCUUCAAGCCGCGCGCGGUCCUGCGGCUGCACGAGCCGCGCGCGGCUCAUCCAACUACUUGAUGGAGGGCGGGCAGUGACCGCGUGGGCGGUCACGUGUCCCGCCUGAAACUAAGAGCGCGCCGCGAGUCUCGGGCGCGCUCUUAAAGGGACAGUGGGUGCCUAAAUUGGAAAAGGCAUCCCAUUGGUCCCUGUCAUACCACACUCCCCAUACACUUACCUUUUGGGGGCGUGGAUGUGACAGGGACCAAUCAAAUUAGAUGUUUAGGUAUUUAUACUCACCUUCUUCCCUUUGUUCCUUGCCCUAUCGUGGUUUCUGUUUCAGUUCCCUUUAGCGCUUGUGGUGUUCAGUUGUGUUUUCUCGUAUUGACUUUGGCUUCGUAUUCUGACUUCGUUUUCGCUUUAUCCUUAUCUGUACUGUUUGCCGGCUCGCUGUUUUCCGUGUACCAGACCCCGGCUUGUCCUAGUUUACGCUGUCUCUCUGUGCCCUUGACCUCGGUUUGUUCCUGGCUCUGUCUUCUCUCAUAUACGUCAAGUCCGGCCAUUCUAAGGUCCGGUAGACGUAUCUCUCCUCUGUAUUUGCCUCUGUUUAGCUGGAUCCUGCGUGUAGGGGUAUAUUCUCGUUACAUUACGAUAGGGCCAUGGACCCCGCAGAUUUGGCUCAACAGAUGGCGUCCCAUGAGGCAAGAUUUGUAGAGCAGGAUCACCGUAUGGAUCAAAUAGCUCAGGCUCUCCAGACGCUCCUAGCUAGAACCGUUCCAGCAACUACACCUAACCCUCCUACGCCCCUUCUCCCUGAAGUAUCUACUUUGCCUAAUACUUCGGCCCAUUUAACACCUCCUCCUAGGUAUGGAGGGGACUCUAAGACUUGCAGAGGGUUUAUUAAUCAGAUUGAAUUUCACUUCGAAAUGUAUCCACGUUCAUUUCCCACAGAGAGGUCUAAGGUUGGGUUCUUUAUGCACCAACUUACCGAUAAGGCACUUGAGUGGGCAAAUCCUAUUUGGGAAGCUAAUGGGCCUAUGGUACAUGAUUUCAACAGUUUUCUUACGGCUUUUCGUAGAACUUUUGACACAAUGAAAAGGUCAAAGAAUGCCGCGAGAGCAUUAAUGAGAAUUAAACAGGGUUCUAGGUCUGUGGCUGAUUAUGCUAUUCAGUUUCGCACUCUUGCUUCGCAGGUAGAUUGGACCAACAAUGGGUUAACUACUGCCUUUAUGGAAGGUUUGUCAGAUACGAUAUUGGAUGAGGUAGCAGCUAAGGAGCUUCCUAUUGCCUUAGAGGACCUUAUCGAUUACCUCAUUGAUAUUGAUAAUAGAAUUCGUGACAGGCUCUAUACCAAGAACAGGAAUAGACGUUUUGUUACACCCAUUAACCCCAGAGUUAAUAUACCAGAGAGUGUUAAAGUGUCUGAGGAGGAACCUAUGCAAUUAGGGGUUGCCAAACUCUCUGAUACUGAGAAAUUACAUAGGAGAAGGGAGGGACUCUGCCUAUACUGUGGUAGGAGAGACCAUAUGGUAAAGGAAUGUCCUUUACUCCCGGAAAACUCUCGCACCUAAGACCUUAUAGGGGACUGGCCUUGGGUGUGAUAUCUAAGUCUCCUAAAUUGCCUCCUAACCGCUUGCUUCUCCCGGUUUCUUUAUAUAUGGGAGAGAUUUGUAUAGUUGACAACAUAUAUGCUCUGGUUGACUCUGGGGCAGCUGAAAAUUUUAUAGACUCUGGCUUUAUAAAGAGAAACAACAUUCCCAUCAGAGAGAAGGAGAUACCCUUGGCCGUUGAGGCCAUAGAUGGUAGACCAUUAAGUUCUCCAGUUGUUACUCAUGAGACUGAACCAUUACACAUGUACACAGGGGUUUUACACUACGAAACCAUUCGAUUCCAGGUUAUCACCUCUCCCUCUUCACAGUUAGUAUUAGGGUAUCCAUGGUUACGUGCUCACAAUCCCAUUUUUGACUGGGAGACAGGGCAAAUAAAAUCAUGGAGUGAGGCCUGCCACGAGUCUUGUACGUUGGAAGUCACACCUUUGAAUUCUAUUGAGGUACCUACCAGUCCUCCUUUGUCUAUGGUUAUACCCCCUCAGUAUUUAUCUCUAAAGACUGUUUUCGAUAAAAGGGAGGCUGAGAAAUUACCGCCUCACAGACCCUAUGAUUGCGCUAUUGACUUGUUGCCUGGCACUAUACCUCCAAAGGGCAGGGUGUACCCCUUAUCGGUUCAAGAAAACCGUGUCAUGGAGGAGUACAUCAAGGAAUCAUUAGAAAAAGGGUUUAUUAGGAGAUCCUCUUCUCCAGCUGGAGCAGGGUUCUUCUUUGUAUCGAAGAAAGAAGGUGAUUUAAGACCGUGUAUAGAUUAUAGAGGUCUAAACAAAAUCACUAUCAAAAAUGCAUACCCUAUACCUUUGAUUACAGAAUUAUUUGACAGGCUGAAACAUGCCACUGUGUUCACUAAAUUAGACCUUAGGAAUGCAUACAAUUUGAUACGUAUAAAGGAAAAUCACGAAUGGAAGACUGCUUUCAACACUAGAUCCGGUCAUUACGAAUACACUGUUAUGCCAUUUGGGCUUUGCAAUGCCCCAGCAGUAUUCCAAGAAUUUAUUAAUGAUGUAUUGAGAGAUUUUAUUCACACAUUUGUUAUCGUAUACUUGGACGACAUUUUAAUAUAUUCUGCAGAUAUACACACUCAUCACAGACAUGUUACGACAGUUUUGAAGACCCUUCUUGCUAAUGGUCUUUAUUGCAAGCUAGAAAAAUGUCUGUUUGACCAAACCGAAGUCCAGUUCUUGGGGUAUUUGAUUUCCGCUAAAGGUUUUCGUAUGGAUCCCCAGAAGCUAGCUGCUGUAAUAGAAUGGCCUCUACCGCAAGGUCUGAAAGCUAUUCAGCGUUUUCUUGGGUUCUCCAAUUAUUAUAGACGUUUUAUCAAAGGUUUCUCGUCCAUUGUAGCACCUAUCACCCGUAUGACUAAAAAGGAUGGCAAUACUCGUGUUUGGUCUACCGAGGCACUUCAGGCUUUUGAAUUUCUUAAAACUACGUUCGCCUCUGCACCUAUUUUACAGCAUCCUGUCCCCUCACUGCCCUAUAUUCUUGAAGUUGAUGCUUCGGAUAUUGGGGUAGGUGCUGUCUUAUCCCAAAGAGAGUCGCCUGAGAAGCCAUUGCAUCCAUGCGGCUUCUUUUCUAAACAAAUGUCCAAAGCAGAGAAAAAUUAUGAUGUGGGUAAUCGCGAACUCCUUGCUAUUAUUUUAGCACUUAAAGAGUGGAGACAUUUGUUAGAAGGAACUAAGGAUCCUAUCCUCAUUUUUACGGAUCACAAGAACCUAUCCUACCUUAGCGAAGCCAAAAGAUUGUCUUCCAGGCAGGCUAGGUGGUCACUAUUUUUGUCCCGUUUCAAUUUUAUUAUCACCUAUAGGCCAGGUGAUCGCAACACUAAAGCAGACGCUCUGUCCAGACAGUUCAAAACUACUGACAAACAGGAGAUUGAUGUUACUCCUGUCAUUCCCCCAGACAGGAUAAUAGCUACUACUAUUUUGUCUAUUUCCUCGUCCCUCUUGCAGGCCAUACAAGCGAAACAAAGCAUGGCACCUAGCGAGAGGCCUAAUGAUAAACUGUUCGUUGAUGUUCCUGAGAGACGGGAUAUUAUGUCAUUAUAUCAUGAUACUAAGACCGCUGGACAUCCUGGUAUUUCAAAAACGGUGUCAGCUGUUUCUCGGUAUUUUUGGUGGGAUUCCUUACGAAAGGAUGUCACUGACUAUAUAAGUGCUUGUACUACUUGUGCCUGUAUGAAAUCCUCCCGUAGAGUUCCUUGUGGGCUGUUGCAUCCGUUACCCGUUCCCGAGAGACCUUGGUCUAACCUGUCCAUGGAUUUUAUUGUUGAAUUACCCCCUUCAAAUGGUAACACAGUAAUCCUGAUGAUAGUGGAUCGGUUCUCCAAAAUGGCUCACUUCGUGUCUCUUCACAAGUUGCCCACAUCCAAGGAACUGGCUCAUAUCUUCGCUAGAGAAGUAUUUCGAUUACAUGGGAUUCCCGUAUCUAUUGUAUCCGAUAGGGGUAGCCAAUUUAUUUCCAGGUUCUGGAGGGCCUUUUGUUCAGAAAUGGGUAUUUCUCUCUCAUUUUCUUCCUCUUAUCAUCCCCAGUCUAAUGGGGCUGCUGAACGUGCCAACCAGUCUCUGGAGCAAUACCUCCGUUGUUUUGUGUCUCACCAUCAGGACAAUUGGUCUGACCUGCUUCCUUGGGCUGAAUUUGCUCGGAAUAACGCCACUCAUGAUUCUUCCGGCAAGAGCCCUUUUUACGUUGUCUAUGGCCAGCAUCCCGUUGUUCUUCCGGCUGCAUUCUCCUCACAGGGCAUGCCAGUUCUGGAUGAGCAUUUGGCUGGUUUGCGUAAUACUUGGGAGCAGGUUCAGCGUUCUUUGGUGGACUCUGCUACUCGCCAGAAGGCUCAGGCUGACAAGCAUCGCAGAGCAGCUCCGUCCUAUGUUGUGGGGGACAGGGUUUUGCUUUCCACGCGGAAUAUUCGUCUCCGGGUGCCUUCUAUGAAAUUGGCUCCCCGCUUCAUUGGACCUUAUCGUAUUAUACAUAAGGUUAAUCCUGUUUCUUAUGCCUUAGGCCUGCCUAAGAAUCUACGUAUUCCUAAUGUUUUUCACACCUCAUUGUUGAAACCUUUCGUACGCAACCGCUAUACCCGGCAUACUCCUCCUCCCCCUCCUAUCUCGGUGGAGGGUCAUGAGGAGUUUGAAGUGUCUGCUGUUCUUGACUCUCGUUUCCUUAGGGGUCGACUUCAAUACUUGGUACAUUGGAAGGGUUAUGGGCCUGAGGAGCACAGUUGGAUUUCGGCCGAUGCUGUCCAUGCUCCCCGUCUUGUGCGCUCUUUCCAUUCACGUUUUCCUGCCAGGCCUGGUCCUACCCGCCCGGGGGGCGUGUCCUCAGGGGGGGGUACUGUAGCGUUACUUACCUUAACCGGGGGCCGGUCGCGGUCCUCUCUUCAAGCCGCGCGCGGUCCUGCGGCUGCACGAGCCGCGCGCGGCUCAUCCAACUACUUCGGAUGGAGGGCGGGCAGUGACCGCGUGAGGCGGUCACGUGUCCCGCCUGAAACUAAGAGCGCGCCGCGAGUCUCGGGCGCGCUCUUAAAGGGACAGUGGGUGCCUAAAUUGGAAAAGGCAUCCCAUUGGUCCCUGUCAUGCCACACUCCCCAUACACUUACCUUUUGGGGGCGUGGAUGUGACAGGGACCAAUCAAAUUAGAUGUUUAGGUAUUUAUACUCACCUUCUUCCCUUUGUUCCUUGCCCUAUCGUGGUUUCUGUUUCAGUUCCCUUUAGCGCUUGUGGUGUUCAGUUGUGUUUUCUCGUAUUGACUUUGGCUUCGUAUUCUGACUUCGUUUUCGCUUUAUCCUUAUCUGUACUGUUUGCCGGCUUGCUGUUUUCCGUGUACCAGACCCCGGCUUGUCCUAGUUUACGCUGUCUCUCUGUGCCCUUGACCUCGGUUUGUUCCUGGCUCUGUCUUCUCUCAUAUACGUCAAGUCCGGCCAUUCUAAGGUCCGGUAGACGUAUCUCUCCUCUGUAUUUGCCUCUGUUUAGCUGGAUCCUGCGUGUAGGGGUAUAUUCUCGUUACAGUAUGGGGAUUCUCGUUCGUUUCGCGAACGGCACUUUGGAGGGCCGUUCGUGAAGCGAACGCGAUACCCCCUAAUAGCCCACACACUUAGAGGCGUGUGGCGCUAGUUAACCGAUUGCAACAAUGUUGCAAUCGGUAAUUAGAGGCUCUCCUGGGUGGCCGUCGUUCGACUACCGACCAUGCGGCGGUCGGCCAUCUUGGAUCCCUUGUUCUUCAGCGGGUCCGUGUUGUCGAACGCAUAGCAUUACCAAUAGUUAUUCGACGGCACGAACACCGCUGAGCCUCCAGGACGUUCGGGAGUUUCAGGACCAGGUUCACUAAAAGUAAUCGGUUCUUUUCGUGUGUUUUGAAAGAAAUGUGUUUUCUGUGCGGCGUUCGGUUAUUUUAGCUGGGAUCUGAGCGGCAAUCUCACGAAUGAUGCGCCCAGACCCCAGCUAUCUACCGAACGUCCAUUCGUGUAAAUCCACCGUGUAUUGUAACAGUUGUAGAUUUUUGUGUGAAUUGCCGGUUCUGCUGCACGAGGGGAUAAUCCCCUUAACGGUGCAUUCUGGGAGGAUGAUCCCUCUCGUGCAGCGGUGCCUGAUGGGAGAAAUAUGUUGUACUGUAAGUCCCCCAUGUAGUCCCCUCUGGGAGUGCCCCUGGGGAGGGACUCAGGAAACCCCUUGCAUGGGGACUUGUAUAAAUUGUCGUGCCGAUUAAAGGAUUUCAGUUGACUCCCAAAACUGUGUCUCGUCCGGUUAUUGGGAGGUUGGGGAUAUUGCCUUGGUGUUUUCAGCGCUUGACUGUGGAUUCGUUUCUGGACCAGCGGAAUUCGUGGAUUUAAUAUUGACAUUCCGCUACAAUUGGUGGCAAGCGACGGGAUCCAACUCUACAGCCGAAUACAGCGCAUUCGAAUGAAAGGAACAACCGAACGGAAAGGCAAUUCGUAUGAAACAAGCAGACGAAAGCGAUCAGUGAAUGGGGACUGAUUACACGGCGUUAAAGAGACAGACGCUAAAGGAACUGCUGGAGGCUAGAGGGAAAAGCGCUAGCAACAAAUCGAAGGCAGUACUGAUUGCAGAGCUAAUGGAGGACGACCAAGCACUCAGCAGUCCACCCCCACCUGCCAGAGAGGAAACACCAUACCAGAGGGAACUGAGAACCCGGCUGGAAUUUGUACCACAGCCAGUAACCCUGGACAUCUUAACCGUGCUGAUGGCAGACGUCCAGGACUACAUUAUGGCACAGCAACCCCAGAGGUCACCAUCCAGGGCGGAAUCCAUCGUCAACUCAUUUUGCCCUCCAACCAAGCAGAAAAUACCGUACCAGGCAUUUAAAGCAUUCUGCGAGGAGAAGGAUGAGAUAGACGGAUAUCUGCAGGAUUUCGAGAGGCUAUGCGACCUGCACGAUCUGGAACCGGCCAUGUGGGUACCCUUACUGGCAGGCAAGUUGGCGGGACGAGCAGCCGAGGCUUACCGCGCUGUGCCCAGAGAGGACAGCAAAGACUACUUUAAAGUAAAAAGAGCAAUCCUAGAAAGAUAUGCCAUAACCCCAGAGACAUACCGACGGAAAUUUCGGGGAUUGAAAAAGCCCGAAAGAGAUUCCCACGCAGAAUGGGCGCACAAGCUGGACCAAGCUUCACAAGGGUGGAUUCAGGCAAGUCAAGCCACCACCAUGGAGGAACUGCGCCAACUCAUCUUGCUGGAGCAAUUCUUCAACGGUCUGUCACCAGAGGCACAGGAGUGGGUAAGGGAUCGAAAACCUCUCAACCUUACAGCAGCCGCCCGAUUGGCAGAUGAACACUUUGAUGCCCGGAGACACCAUGGGCUCACCAACAGGGGUCCCCUAAGACCGCCAAUACAACAUCACCCAGCCAGCCCCACACCCGCCAACCCUACUCCAUUCAGGCCACCACCAGGAAACCCCCCACCGCCAGCCCGCUACAAUGGCAGGGCCAACAUACAAUGCCAUACCUGCCGGCAGUGGGGGCAUAUGUCCCGGGAGUGCACCCAGAAUCGUAGCAGGCAGGCGUGGAACCAGGUACGGCAGAAUGCCGUUCCCAGGGCGGCGGCCCAUUUCUACCACGCAGAACCUGACCAUUCGGAGCUGACAAGUAUACCAACCGAGGAACCAUUGGGGGUUCUGUACGAGGUGAUGUCGGUGCAAGCCACGGACAACCGGCAGCAUCACCGCCAAGUUGUGUUUGUGGGAGGGAAAGAAGUGCAGGGGCUGCGGGACUCGGGAGCCACCUUAACCUUAGUGGCCCCCCAUUUAGUUCCAGAUACGGCCCACACUGGCGGAUCAGUGGCAGUCCGGGUAGCGGGGGGAGCCAUGUACCGGUUACCCACGGCCAAGGUGCAUUUGAAUUGGGGUGCUGGGGAGGGGGUUGUGGAAGUGGCCAUAAUGAAAAAACUACCGGCCGAUGUUGUUUUGGGGAAUGACUUGGGCCAGAUGACUUCUGCUUUUCUACCCCAGGCCCCGUCACAAGAGGCGCAUCCGGUAACCACCCGGCAACAGGCUCGCACCACGGCAUUCCCCGCACACUCUGAGGCUCAGGUAAGAAAUCAUGACCCCCCCUGACAGACAUGACUUGGGACACCCCGUCCACGUUUGAAGUAGAGGUGCAGACAGACCCCACACUGCAGGUAUACCGAGAUAGGGUAGAUACGGACCAGGUGGGGCGGGAGGGAGAACAGUACAGGUGGGAGAAGAAGUUACUAUACCGGGUGGCGGAAAGGGCGAUAGGCAACUCGGUGACGCUCCAAACCAAGCAGUUAGUAGUGCCCCAGAAGUAUAGGCAGGAGUUACUAAGAAUCGCCCAUGAUAUCCCUCUGUCCGGCCAUUUAGGGAUGACCCGGACCCGGUAUCGCUUAACGCACGCCUUCUUUUGGCCCGGGAUUUCUAAAGAUGUGAGGCAAUAUUGUACCUCCUGUGAUGUGUGCCAGAGGGUAGGCAAGAGGGGAGACCGCCACAAGGCAAAACUAUGUCCCCUACCUAUCAUUGAGGAACCCUUCAGCCGUGUAGCAGUGGAUAUAGUAGGGCCACUACCAAAACCCAGCCCUUCUGGGAAACGGUAUAUCCUGACCGUGGUGGAUUACGCCACCCGGUACCCCGAGGCGAUUGCCCUAACUAAUAUACACGCCGAGACCGUAGCCGAAGCCUUGAUGAAAAUAUUCUCCCGAGUAGGGUUCCCACAGGAAAUGGUCUCCGAUAGGGGGACACAAUUCACGGCUGAGGUUACUCAGCAGUUAUGGAAGAUAUGUGGCAUUAAGCCAAUCAUUAACUCCGCCUACCACCCGCAAUCCAACGGAUUAUGUGAGAGAUUCAACGGCACCCUAAAACAGAUGCUCCGGACAUUCGGAGAGACCCAUAAGGACUGGGAACGAUUCCUUCCCCAUCUGUUGUUUGCAUACAGAGAGGUGCCCCAAGAGUCUACAGGUUUCUCCCCAUUUGAGCUAUUGUUUGGGAGAAGGGUCCGGGGGCCGUUGGAUCUCAUUAGAGAGCAUUGGGAGGGAGAGAGUAGCGCAGAUGGGACCCCAAUUGUACCCUACGUGCUGGCGUUCCGGGAUCGCCUGGAGGAAUUGACCCAGGCAGUGCGCACCAACCUCCAGGCCGCCCAACAACGACAGCGUCGUUGGUAUGACAGGGGGGCCAGAGACCGUAGUUUUCAAGUGGGACAGAAGGUGCUAAUCCUUAAACCUGUCCGCACCGAUAAACUGCAGGCCGUCUGGCAAGGCCCAUACCAGGUGGUAGAGCAGAGAUGCGAUACCACCUAUGUGAUCGGCCCAUGCUCCGGAGUAGGGAAGAGACGCAUGCUCCAUGUGAACAUGCUCAAACCCUACCACGAGCGGACGGAGGACGUGGCAGCUAUUUGCACGCCCGCCUCCGAAGAUCAGGAGAACCUGCCCCUUCCAGAUCUGUUAGAGCAGGAGGAGCAGAAGGAACCCUCCCAGGGGGUUCAACUGGGGGAGCGGCUAAGUCCUCAAGAGCGUAUCCAGGUACAAGAACUGAUAGCAACCAAGGGCGCCACCUUUUCUAACCUACCUGGGUACACUCCACUAGCCACCCACCGAGUAGAAACCCCGGGACAGCUUCCCAUGCGACAGACUCCCUAUCGGAUUCCCGAAUCCGUGCGGGAACAUAUGAGAAAGGAAAUUGAAGAGAUGUUGCAGUUGGGGGUUAUUGAGCACUCCGAUAGCCCCUGGGCAUCGCCGGUAGUCCUGGUUCCCAAGAAAGAUGGUACCACCCGGUUCUGCGUGGACUACCGGAGGUUGAACGACAAAACUGUGUCGGACGCUUACCCGAUGCCUCGGAUAGACGAACUGCUUGAUAAGAUGGCCAGGGGUCAGUAUCUCACUACCAUAGAUUUGUGUAAGGGAUACUGGCAAAUUCCACUAGCCGAGGACGCCAUCCCUAAGUCGGCGUUUGUCACCCCGUUUGGUUUGUACCAAUUUCGAGUCAUGCCAUUCGGGAUGAAGAACGCCCCCGCGACCUUCCAGCGGAUGGUGGAUCGGCUACUGGACGGGUUCCAGGACUAUGCGUGUGCAUAUCUGGACGAUAUUGCCAUAUACAGUCAGACCUGGUCGGAGCACCUACAACACAUAGGGGCAGUAAUAGAUCGGAUCCGAGAGGCAGGGCUUACCUUGAAACCCAGCAAAUGCCACAUAGGGAUGGCAGAGGUCCAGUACUUAGGGCACCGGGUUGGUAGCGGGCAGCAGAAGCCUGAGCCAGCAAAGAUUGAAGCUGUAGCCCAGUGGCCUACCCCUAGGACCAAAACCCAAGUCCUGGCUUUCCUAGGUACCGCCGGGUACUACAGAAAAUUUGUACCCAACUACAGUGCCCUGGCCAAACCCCUGACUGAUCUGACGAAGAAAAACCUGCCCGGCAGGUCGUCUGGGCCCCAGAGUGUGAACAGGCAUUCAAUCAGCUGAAAACGGCUCUGACCAAUGCCCCUGUACUGGCUGCUCCUGAUCCAACUAAACGUUUUCUUGUUCACACAGACGCCUCAAUGUUUGGAUUGGGAGCAGUACUGAGCCAGGUCGGAGCCGAUGGCGGAGAACACCCCGUAGCAUACUUGAGUCGGAAACUGUUACCCCGAGAGGUGAGCUACGCCGCCAUAGAAAAGGAAUGCCUGGCCGUGGUGUGGGCCCUGAAAAAGCUACAGCCGUAUCUCUAUGGGCAACCCUUUUCUUUGCUCACAGAUCACAACCCGUUGGUAUGGCUAAACCGUGUGGCUGGAGACAAUGCCAGGCUGCUGCGCUGGAGUUUGGCGCUGCAGCCCUUUGACUUUACAAUUCACUACCGCCCAGGGAAACAAAACGGUAAUGCCGACGGGUUGUCCAGACAAACAGACCUUGAGAAAUGAUCUGUGAGCACUCCUCCGGACAUCCCCAAGCCGAUCCGUUGGGAUCAGACUGUGUAUGCCGGCUUGGUUCUGGGGGAGCAUUGUGGCAAACCUAGCCACUUGGACAAUAACUAGAGACUGUGCCUUUAAGGGUUGCCUAUCGGUCUAGAGAGAUAUGCGUGUUAUUCUUAUGUAUGGGCUUGAUGUAUUUCUGUGGAGACUGUAAUUACCUGUUUCGCCGAAUGCCAAUGGCGGUUUGUAUGGGGAUUCUCGUUCGUUUCGCGAACGGCACUUUGGAGGGCCGUUCGUGAAGCGAACGCGAUACCCCCUAAUAGCCCACACACUUAGAGGCGUGUGGCGCUAGUUAACCGAUUGCAACAAUGUUGCAAUCGGUAAUUAGAGGCUCUCCUGGGUGGCCGUCGUUCGACUACCGACCAUGCGGCGGUCGGCCAUCUUGGAUCCCUUGUUCUUCAGCGGGUCCGUGUUGUCGAACGCAUAGCAUUACCAAUAGUUAUUCGACGGCACGAACACCGCUGAGCCUCCAGGACGUUCGGGAGUUUCAGGACCAGGUUCACUAAAAGUAAUCGGUUCUUUUCGUGUGUUUUGAAAGAAAUGUGUUUUCUGUGCGGCGUUCGGUUAUUUUAGCUGGGAUCUGAGCGGCAAUCUCACGAAUGAUGCGCCCAGACCCCAGCUAUCUACCGAACGUCCAUUCGUGUAAAUCCACCGUGUAUUGUAACAGUUGUAGAUUUUUGUGUGAAUUGCCGGUUCUGCUGCACGAGGGGAUAAUCCCCUUAACGGUGCAUUCUGGGAGGAUGAUCCCUCUCGUGCAGCAGUGCCUGAUGGGAGAAAUAUGUUGUACUGUAAGUCCCCCAUGUAGUCCCCUCUGGGAGUGCCCCUGGGGAGGGACUCAGGAAACCCCUUGCAUGGGGACUUGUAUAAAUUGUCGUGCCGAUUAAAGGAUUUCAGUUGACUCCCAAAACUGUGUCUCGUCCGGUUAUUGGGAGGUUGGGGAUAUUGCCUUGGUGUUUUCAGCGCUUGACUGUGGAUUCGUUUCUGGACCAGCGGAAUUCGUGGAUUUAAUAUUGACAUUCCGCUACAGUGACAGUAACAGAGGGAUUGAGGACCCUGCUCAGUGAGUUUACAUGUUAGAGGGAGUGGGGUAUAGUGACACAGUAACAGAGGGAUUGAGGGCCUGCUCAAUGAGUUUACAUGUUAGAGGGAGUGGGGUAUAGUGACACAGUAACAGAGGGAUUGAGGGCUCUGCUCAGUGAGUUUACAUGUUAGACGGAGUGGGGUAUAGUGACACAGUAACAGAGGGAUUGAGGGCUCUGCUCAGUGAGUUUACAUGUUAGAGGGAGUGGGGUAUUGUGACAGUAACAGAGGGAUUGAGGGCCCUGCUCAGUGAGUUUACAUGUUAGAGGGAGUGGGGUAUAGUGACACAGUAACAGAGGGAUUGAGGGCCCUGCUCACUGAGUUUACAUGCUAGAGGGAGUGGGGUAAAAUGACACAAAAAGGUAAGGAUAGUAUUAGACUAGUGACAGUUGCAGAAGAGGAAUCAGUCAGGAGCUAUUAACAGUUUAAUUGAUACGCUUUUAUGAAGAAGUGGAUUUUUAACGAUUUUUUUUAAGUGGUGACUGGGUGAGCAUCUAACAGAGGAGGGAAGCUUACUCUUGAGGAUAGAUCGUCCAUUAAGUAGUUUUCUUGAAUCUUUUAUUCAACCUCUCUCAUUGAUGGAAGAUCUAGUUUUAGCUAACUAGCAGCUAUACUUCUACGUUACACAGCCUUCUUAAACACUUCCUGUAAAGAGUCAUCUAAUGUUUACACUUCCUUUAUUACACAUUCUGUUUAAUUUAGAAUGUCUUAUCUGUUGCUCUGUUAAUAACCUUCUAGACCCUGCAGAAGCCUCCUAUGUGUGAUUAAAGUUUAAUUUACAGGAAAUAAAAACUUCUAAACGGACACGAUAGGACCCAGACCACAUCAGCUUAUUGAAGUGAUUUGGGUACAGUGUCUGUUUCCUACUUAGUCCAGCAAUGUAAAACUUUGCAGGUUUAGAGGAACUGCAAUAAUUACCUUGCAGCACUAGAGGCACUUCCUGCUUGCUAGCAACUUUUAGUCGUGUAACAGACACUGGGUGUCCUCACAUUAGUUAAAUCCCCAAAGGAAAGUAUGUGCACGUUUUAGAUAAGUACAUUUCAUGUAUCUUUUAAACGUCACUUUGCUCUGAUUCUGGUAAAUUAAGCAGUGAUUUUCUUCCUUAUAAUUAGGUUGGGAUUUUCUCCAGAUCGGCGGAGGAGGAAUACUCCUGGCUGCAGACCCUGCUGAGUGAGGGGUUCAGGGAUUGCGUUCAGGAAGUCAGACCGUAUUACAUCUCUAACUCCGGGUACCGUCAGUUCAGACAGGAUGUGUCUGAAUGCACGUUUGGGAUCCUGUAUCACACCAAGAACAGAGGGAGGAUUAAUGUGACGGAUGUGGCGGAAUCUCUGUACGACAAAGAGCUGGAAUAUCUGUCUGAUACACUAGGUAA